rnacentral:rRNA from 1 species
UACGAAGGGGGCUAGCGUUGCUCGGAAUUACUGGGCGUAAAGCGCACGUAGGCGGCUCUUUAAGUCGGGGGUGAAAUCCUGGAGCUCAACUCCAGAACUGCCUUCGAUACUGAAGAGCUCGAGUCCGGGAGAGGUGAGUGGAACUGCGAGUGUAGAGGUGAAAUUCGUAGAUAUUCGGAAGAACACCAGUGGCGAAGGCGGCUCACUGGACCGUAGUUGACGCUGAGGUGCGAAAGCGUGGGGAGCAAACAGG